UACGGGGGGUGCAAGCGUUGUUCGGAAUUACUGGGCGUAAAGGGCGCGUAGGCGGGCGGGCAAGUCCCUCGUGAAAGCCCUCGGCUCAACCGUGGAAUUGCGGGGGAAACUGCUCGUCUUGAGUCCGGUAGAGGAGUGUGGAAUUCCCAGUGUAGCGGUGAAAUGCGUAGAUACUGGGAGGAACACCGGUGGCGAAGGCGGCACUCUGGACCGGUACUGACGCUGAGGCGCGAAAGCUAGGGGAGCAAACGGG
rnacentral:rRNA from 1 species